UACUCCCUGACAGGCCAACAUAACGGCCACGAUCCUGCUCCACCUCCUGCGACGGAUAUCGCACGAUUCUCCCAUCCGCUGGCAAGUCACGACAACGGACGCUGCUCCACUCCUCGCAACUGAUUCCACGUGGCGAGCUACGACAAUAGCCACGAUUCCGCUCCACUACCCUUCGCAAUAAAUUCCGCCUGACUAUGGGCGGCCCACUACC
rnacentral:lncRNA from 1 species